ACCUCCCCUUGGUGGGAGGGGGCGGGGGUCUGCCUCCUAUGGAGAGUGGUUGGGGUGCUUCUGUGUUCCUGACAUCCCAUCACGGUUUCACCCCUCCUUAGAGGUGCUGUGGCUCUGUGACGAUCUCCCCCUUCCCUCCCCCAUUCACCUGUUUGGGGAAUUAAAAUCGAAAUUAAAAUCCUGUAGAAAGUGCAGAGGACAGAAUGUUAGAACUGGACAGACCCUCGGAAACCAGUUAAUCAUUCCCUGUGUUUCACAGACAAGUCCCAGGGCACGAAUGUGACCCAUUACGAACAGGCAGUGAAGCUGUGGCAGGGCUGGAGCUGCCCCAGGCUCUGGCAUCAUCCCCGAGGGCUGGAGCUCACUCCCCACUACAGGCUUUUCCGGACCCCACGUCCACAGGUUGGAGUGCAGUGGUGCCAUCUCCCUUCACGACGAACUCCACCCCCCAUCCCCAGGAUCAAGCGAUCCUCCCACCUCAGCCUCCCAGAGCUGGGACCACAGACGCGUGCCACCACGCCCAGGUACAGCGCAGUCAGCAGGAAGCAGCCACCCCCCAGGGCGAUGACAAAGGCGCAGCACAGGAAGCUCUGCUGCAGGCUGAGGAAGCGCUGCAGGUAGGAGUCAGGGCGCCUGGCCCGCAGGACACUAGAGAUCUGCAGAGGAGCAGGGGUGGGUCUGCCAGGCCCACCAGGCUGGCCCCCAGGCCCUCCCCACCCCACACACGCAGACACGUCUUACAAGUCCUGUGAGAUAGGGGCUGCCAGCGUCUCCCAGGAUGUGGCCCACCGUGAUCUGAAGUGCCUCUGCUGUCCCCCGGCAUCUGGGCACCACCACAGACUGCAAAACAUAGGCACAGCAGGGGGGCACCCCAAGUGAGGGCACCCUUGCCUGCUGUUCCCCACCUGCCAAGGACCUGCCUGGAGGAGUGACAGGCCAUUCAGGUGAGUGGGAUGGGAGGGAGUCGACGGUCCCCAAGGUCUGAAGUCCCACCCCAGAACAUCAAGCCCAUCUGAAGCUUCCCCAGUGCCCCAGGAUGGGGGUGCCAAGGCCUCUGAUCAGGGCCACCCCUCUUGAGAGUUUGCUCUUGAACUGGGAAGGAACCAAGCAUGCAUGUGACCACAGUGAAUGAGGCUGGGGUGUCCCAGCUCAGGGGCCCACGAUGCAGCAGCGCAAGCGGGCAGGGCGAAGAGCGGGUGCAUGCCAGGUGUCUGCAAUUGGGCAAGGGUGGUACGGAGGGCUCAGUCCUCUCAGGAACCUCAAGGCCCCUGGGGCAGAGACCAAAGGCAGCCUUGCUGGAGAAGCCCACACGACUCCACGGACAAGGCUGAGAACAUUAAGAAGAUGAACUCUGGGCCAGGCGCGGUGGCUCACGUCUGUAAUCCCAGCACUUUGGGAGGCCGAGGCGGGUGGAUCACCCGAGGUCAAGAGGUCAAGACCAGCCUGGCAACAUGGUGAAACCCUGUCUCUACUAAAAAUACAAAAACUAGCCGGCGUGGUGGCACAUGCCUGUAAUCCCAGCUACUCGGGAGGUUGAGGCAGGAGAAUUGCUUGAACACAGGAGGCAGAGGUUGCAGUGAGCUGAGAUCGUACCACUGCAAUCCAACCUGGGCAACAAGAGCAAAAUCCCAUCUCAAAAAAAAAAAAAAAAAGAAAGAACUCUGGUGUCACACUCUCGGGUUCCGAUCCAGAUCCCCACUCGCUAGCUGUGUGACUUUGAGCAAACUGCUUCACCUUUCUUCCCUCAGUCUCUCCAUCCCCAAAUGGGGGUAAUAAUGGUACUGAUCUUGAGAGUUUUAUUCAUUAUCGUUAUUCGUCUGCUACCUGGAGGCUUCGUGUGGACAUCAGACCAAAAUAACGCUCUGAGACAGAAUGCUCCAGGCCCUUGAACUCAGCUGCGCCUUCUGCCUGGUGUGCCUUCCACUCUCUGGUCCAGCUGGAGCAUCUAUAUUUGUCAUUUAGGACUUACAUUUUGGUCAUCUCCUCUGUGAAGCCCUCUCAGAGUUCAGGUACCUGCCCUGAGCUCCCGCAACUCCUAUGCACACCCCUAAUUAACGCAUGUCUCCCAGAACUGGGAGGGGCCCUUUCUCUGUCCACCACCCCUUAUUCCCUAUGUUGUGUGGGCAACAAAGACCCUUAAUUUCUCUUGGGGUCCCUGCAAGACACCAGGCACAGAGGGGACUAGCUGAAAGUUUGCCAACCAAAUAACUCAAGUAGGUCCAUCUGGGAGACUAUUCCCAGGAGAAAGUCUGCCAGAACCCAGGGCUACAGCAGGGGAUGGAAGGAGGGAGGGGGAGGGGACUCAAGCAGAGACCACAUGGUCACAUGAACCCAACUGGACAGCCACAGGGGCGCUUACACCCUGGAGCCUUAUCCCCAAGACCUAGGUGUCCGUGAUCUGAGGCCUUGAGUUAAUCAAUAUUAGCUGGGCACAGUGGCUCACGCCUGUAAUCCCAGCACUUUGGGAGACUGAGGCAGGUGGAUCACUUGAGGUCAGGAGUUCAAGACCAGCCUGGCCAACAUGGCGAAAUCCCAUCUCUACUAAAAAUACAAAAAUUAGCUGGGUGUGGUGGCAGGUGCCUAUAAUCCCAGCUACUCGGGAGGCUGAGGCAGGAGAAUCGCUUGAACCUGGGAGGUGGAGGUUCUAGUGAGCUGAGGUGGCACCACUAUACUCCAG
rnacentral:lncRNA from 1 species